CACUUCUCAAGACCUUAUCUCGUGAAACCUAAGAUGAGCACAGCUGUGCUUUCAGACAAAGCCUGUCCAACUUCCCAGUUUACUACAGAGAGUUGCUGUGAGGGCCUGGAUCCCUGAAUGGCUGCGUGAAGCCGCACCCCUGCCACCACAUACUGGGCGGUGAUUGUGUUUGGCCUCUGAGAUUUGGGGGUUUUCUGUCACAGCAUUUGGACUCCCCUGACUGGCACGCUAUUGGACCCUUAACUUUUUGGCCAGCAUUGUCUAGCAUGAGGCUGGUCUCCUUAUCCUCCCCUAGGAAUGUGGAUAUGGUGUUCAGGGCCUAGAUGGUCUCUACUGGCUACUUGAAGUUCUGGAGACUUGAAAGCCCAGCAUCAAGUUCCAGCUGACUCAUUUUCUGCAAACUAAUCUUCCUCUGAGCUCCUGUCUUCAGGAAAUCAGACUGCCACCCUUGUCAGGGGUGUCCUGGGAUCGGCGGGAGUAAGGAGCCGGGAAAGCUGGCGUCUAAGGUACAAUUCAACCAGCUAGCUGUGGAUCCUCAGGCAAGUAAGUUCACCUCUCUGAGUCUGAGUGUCCUGGUGUAUAAAGUAGGAAUGAUUGUGCAUGUACGCACACACAUGCCCGAGAUAAUGGGUUACAGUGCUUUGUAGUUUGAGGCAGAGGCUCAGUAUGAGCUAUUGCGCUAAUAAUUGCAACAGAAAACUGAGGCGUAUUUUCACAUUUCUGUUUUGGGUUGUGUCUCCUCUGUGUUCCCUUUCCCUCCAUACGUCUUCUUCUGAAGGUCAAUUCCACAAUCAGUUACCAGAAGUGGCAAGACUGCCGGAGCUGUAAUCCCAGCUAAGAAGUGGCUGGCCAUGGCUCUGAGUGACGGCUUCACAAACCUCACCGCAUUCCGUUCUAUAGCAGUCUCUGAGCUGCGAGCCAGGGCUCUCACCAUCCCCACUAGACAGCUGAGCAUACUGAGGGUCAGACGGAUGAAAGGACGCGCUCAGCAUGCGCCACUGCUAAGCCGCAGAUGAAACCCACACUCAGAUCCAGGACGCAGGAGGGAGGAGCGGCACAGAAAGAAAUAGGAGCUGCCUUCAGGUUCAAAGCACAAUUGUUUUGCUUUUGUUUUUAGACCUCGUGCAAAAUGAACAAAACUCAUCCAGAACGAUGUCCACAGGCCCCUGAUGGCUCCCCAGGCCUCACUGAAGCAGGGAAGGGCAGAGUGAGGCACUGUGGGCAAGAGAAGAGCCCUGCCCUUAUGGAGAGCAGCUGGCCAGACAGACAUUAAACACAUGAUAAUACACAGAAACAUGUGAUUACAGGGAGUGAAGAAUGCAACAAAGAAAUAAUACUUUGAAAUAUCGCCUUCUCUUUCUGGACUUCUUUGGAAUACAGCCAGUCAGAGCAUAGCUCUAAGACCAAGAGUAAGCAAUGCCUUUUGAAAUAUUCUGUUUGAAAUCAGAGCCCUUCCCCACUGCAGUCAAUUGCGGGCACAAAUAUUCCUUUUGUUCACAGACCACAUCCUGUGUUCCCCAGGGCCUCACCCUGAGCUGAUCCCAGGAUGACCUAGAAGAGGUGUGCUGCUUUCUACAUCAAUUUGUCAGGAAGACAAAUCUUUUAGUGUCGGGAAGAAAAGCAGCAAGAUGAAAAAGAAAAAAAAAAGAAGAUAUUUCAAGAUCAGAUUCUUCAUCCUACUUUUCUGACUUGCCAGAAGCUAACGACAUCUUUCCUAGCAGUGACUGGCAACCACUCUGAAAACUUCACCAAAUUAUUACUCCUUUAUUUUUUUGAAAAAACAGGCAAGUGUAUUUAGUUGUCAUUGGUUACAACCAAAUUUCUCUAAAUAUUUCAGUGCAUCUCAAAAUACUAUAUUGAUAAGUUCAAGUCAUAAAAAACUGCAUUAGGAGUUUUGGAAAAUUUACUGGUAGGAUUAUGCAUGUUUUUCUUCCAUUUGAGUUCUCCUCUGAAUGCAUGUUUAUUUAAAGAAAAAUUGUGGUAUUUGGAAGAUUGAAGACUGACUUCUAAACUGUGCUGACUUCAGGAAGACCUACUUUUGGCCAGGCACAGAGGCUCAUGCCUGUAAUCCCAGCACCUUGGGAGGCUGAGGAGGGAGGAUUGCUUGAGCCCAGGAGUUCAAGACAAGCCUAGGUAACACAGCAAGAAAAAUGUUGAAAUUAGCUGAGUAUGGUGGGUCAUGCCUGUAGUCGCAGCUACUUGGAAAGCUGAGACAGGAGAAUGGCUUGAACCAGAGAGGUGGAGGCUGCAGUGAGCUAUGAUCAUGCCCCUGCACUCCAGACUGGGUAACAGAGUGAGACCCCAUCUCCAAAAAAAAAGAAGACCUGCUUUUUUCUCCUUCUAUCCAGUCCCAUCGAAUUAACUGUUCUUGGAAAGGAGGGCACAUCCCAAACUGGGGGGUCACAAGGUGAUUUGUGAGGUACACGUAGCAUCAAAACCACAGAUACACACGCUGACAGAGCUAUUCCUUUUUAGUCCUUUGCUUGGCCCAGGAGAGUCCCCAGUGGGGACUAGUCAAUUUUCAGCACCUCCCCAGUGCUGCCACCACCCUUUUUAAUAGAGAGAGUGAGCAGCUACAGCACCAAACUGGAAUUUCGUAACAUCAGCUUUCAUUAUUUUUAUGACCAUUGCCUUCCACAUAGGUCAAAUGGCACUGGUUUUUCACUUAUGGUCAUGACUUGAAGCUUCCUUUUUAAAAUAACUGUAUGUUUUCAAAAGUGUGUAAAUGUAAAAGAAAGGAUUAAGUAAAUAAUGGCACGAUAUGGCAGGUGAGAUGCAAAUGGCAGGUUUGGGGAAAAGGGCAAUCGAUAAAAAUAAAGGCAGCUUGGCUCUCCCGCUCUCCCAGCGCUGCAGCUCAGAGGAAAACUAAAAUUAAUUCCUUUUGCAGCAUGACGGGGAAAAAAAGCAUCCAGAAGGAAAUUCAUCAAACCAUUAAAAGUGAUCUCCCCCAGGGAAGGGGCUUGCAGGCAGGGGGAACACAUUCACAUUUCGCUUUAAACACAUCUGGAUUAUUUGAAUUUUUGUAUUGCAUAGAAGUUAACCCUUUGUCUGACUUCUUGGUUAUAAAUGUUUUUCUUGGAAUGCCUUUUGUUUAUUGCCUUUGUGAUCUCUUGGGCAGGCAAAACUUCUCAACUUCAUAAAAUAAAAUAAAAAAUCCAUCUUUUCUUUAUAGCUUCUGGGUUUCCAGUCUCCCUGGCCCCUAGAUUGUAACUGCAGUAUCACACAUUUCUUGCAAUACUAUUAUGAUUAUUGUGUUACUUGUAAGUAUUUAAUUCCUCUAGAGUUGAUUUCUGUAUCCAUGGACCAUUGGUUCCAUUUUCAUGUUCUCCCAUUUGUCAAAGGGUUCAUCCAUCCUCCUGUCUUGAACAUCAGCUCUCUCCGUAUAUACCUUCUGAGUUAUAAGGACAGUUCCACUUCACUUCCUGCUUCACUAAUCUAGUCCCUGUCACGACACCAAAACUGACUUGGUUACAGGACCUUUAGAGCCUAUACUAAUACCUGGAUAGGUAAAUCCUCCAUCACUCUUCUCAUUUUCCACAUUUCCUAGCUAUUCUGAGGGCAUCUCUUCUUCCAUAGGAACUCUAAGAUUAUAUUUUUAUUUGAGUAUGCAUUAUUUCAAUAAUUUAAAAAAUAAAAUAUUUUAUUAUUAAAAAGGUGGCCAGGUGUGGUGGCUUAUGCCUGUAACUCCAGCACUUUGGGAGGCCAAGUCGGGUGGAUCACUUGAGGUCAGGAGUUCGAGACCAACCUGGCCAACAUGGCGAAACCCUGUGUCUACUAAAAAUACAAAAAUUAGCUGGGUGUGGUGGCGAGCGCCUGUAAUUCCAGCUACUCAGGAGGCUGAGGCAAGAGAAUUGCUUGAACCUGGGAGGCGGAGGUUGCAGUGAGCCGAGAUUGUGC
rnacentral:lncRNA from 1 species